rnacentral:rRNA from 1 species
GACGAACGCUGGCGGCGUGCUUAACACAUGCAAGUCGAACGGUAAGGCCCUUCGGGGUACACGAGUGGCGAACGGGUGAGUAACACGUGGGUGAUCUGCCCUGCACUUCGGGAUAAGCCUGGGAAACUGGGUCUAAUACCGGAUAGGACUCCUGCCUGCAUGGGAGGGGGGGGAAAGCUUUUGUGGUGUGGGAUGGGCCCGCGGCCUAUCAGCUUGUUGGGGGGGUGAUGGCCUACCAAGGCGACGACGGGUAGCCGGCCUGCGAGGGUGACCGGCCACACUGAGACUGGGAUACGGCCCAGACUCCUGCGGGAGGCAGCAGUGGGGAAUAUUGCACAAUGGGCGCAAGCCUGAUGCAGCGACGCCGCGUGAGGGAUGACGGCCUUCGGGUUGUAAACCUCUUUCAGCACAGACGAAGCGCAAGUGACGGUAUGUGCAGAAGAAGGACCGGCCAACUACGUGCCAGCCGCCGCCGUAA